AUAUAAUUUAAGGUGAAUUCUGCCCAGUGAUAUAUUUUAACGGCCGCAGUACUUUGACUGUGCUAAGGUAGCAUAAUAAAUUGUCUUUUAAUUAAAGACUGGAAUAAAUGGACUUUUGAUUGACAACUGUUUCUACAAGUUUUUUAUUAAUUUACUUAAAAGGUGAAAAUACCUUUAUAAAUUUUAAAGACGAGAAGACCCUUAGAGUUUUUAUAAUAUUAUAUUUUUUAAUUCAUUUUUGUUGGGGCGACAUAGAAACAGAAAAUAUUAACUUUCUACUUCUAUUAAUAUUUAUUAAUUUUUUUAAAGCUAAAUAAACUACCUAAGGGAUAACAGCAUAAUUAUUAUAUUAGAUUGUGACCUCGAUGUUGGACUAAGGACUUAUAUGCUAACCGUUUAAUAAGAUAGUUCUGUUCGAAC
rnacentral:rRNA from 1 species